UCCGAGUUGACCCCGGCAGUCUCACAUGAGUCCCCACCAUAACGUGCUGGCAACAUGCGACGAGGGUUGCGCUCGUUGCGGGACUUAACCCAACAUCUCACGACACGAGCUGACGACAACCAUGCACCACCUGUACACCAGUGUCCAAAGAGUCCCCUGUCUCCAGGGUGUUCUGGUGCAUGUCAAGCCUUGGUAAGGUUCUUCGCGUUGCAUCGAAUUAAUCCGCAUGCUCCGCCGCUUGUGCGGGCCCCCGUCAAUUCCUUUGAGUUUUAGCCUUGCGGCCGUACUCCCCAGGCGGGGCGCUUAAUGCGUUAGCUACGACACGGAAACCGUGGAAAGGUCCCCACAUCUAGCGCCCAACGUUUACGGCGUGGACUAC
rnacentral:misc_RNA from 1 species